rfam:Prevotella sp. CAG:520 genomic scaffold, scf88
GGGGUUGACUGGAUUUGACAGCGGGAUGAAAUGGUAUGUAAGCAUGCGGAGCCUCGAUGGCUAGCUCCUUAAUCUGAGUGAUCAAAAAUUUAAUUGGCGAAAACAACUACGCUCUCGCUGCUUAAUCGAAGUAUAGUAGAUUAGCUUUAUUCCGCCACAAGGUUUGGCGGAACGAGACAUCGCUCCAAGGAUGUUGUUCCGAAUCUGAGGACAAAGCGGUGCAGGUAAAUCGGAAAUAGCCAGUGUGUGCCUCGCCGCACGGGUGAAGUUUUAGAGGAUAAGGGCGCAAUUGGUGGUCUGGGUCUUGUUGCGUCACGAAAACAGAAGGCCAGAAUAAGCAUGUAGAAAGCGUAUGGUUUCCCUGUUUGGACGUGGGUUCGAAUCCCACCAGCUCCACAA